CCCUUAGAUGUUCUGGGCCGCACACGCGCUACACUGAAGGAGGCAGCGUGUACUCCUGGAUCGAAAGAUUUGGGUAACCCGCGAAUCUCCUUCGUGCUAGGGAUUGAGGUUUGCAAUUAUCCUUCAUGAACGAGGAAUUCCCAGUAAGUGCAAGUCAUAAGCUUGCGCUGACUACGUCCCUGCCCUUUGUACACACCGCCCGUCGCUACUACCGAUUGAAUGAUUUAGUGAGGACUUCGGACUGGGACCGAUGCGGCUUUCGGGCUGCGUCGGUAUUCUGGAAAGAUGUCCAAACUGUAUCAUUUAGAGUAAGUAAAAGUCGUAACA
rnacentral:rRNA from 1 species